rnacentral:tRNA from 1 species
GCGGGAAUAGCUCAGUUGGUAGAGCAUAACCUUGCCAAGGUAUGGGGUCGCGAGUUCGAGUCUCGUUUCCCGCUCCA